rnacentral:rRNA from 1 species
UACACACCGCCCGUCACACCAUGGGAGUGGGGUUCACCAGAAGCAGGUUGCCUAACCGCAAGGGGGGCGUCCUACCACGGUGAGCUUCAUGACUGGGGUGAAGUCGUAAACAAGGUACC